GCGACCGUGGUGAAGUGGAUAUCAUCCAGCCCUCCGAAGGCUGUGGCGCAGGUUCGAUUCCUGCCGGUCGCACCA
rnacentral:tRNA from 2 species